rnacentral:rRNA from 1 species
AGAGAGAGACAUGCGCGCAUAUCAAUAAGCGGAGGAAAAGAAACUAACAAGGAUUCCCUUAGUAACGGCGAGUGAAGCGGGAAGAGCUCAAAUUUGAAAUCUUCAAGGUUUUACCUUGACGAAUUGUAGUUUAAAGAAGUGUUUUCUGCUGAAGUUUUGGUAAAAGUUCUUUGGAAUAGGACAUCAUAGAGGGUGAGAAUCCCGUAUUUGACCAUUAUUUUCAGCUUUGUGAUACACUUUCGAAGAGUCGGAUUGUUUGGGAAUGCAGUCCAAAAUGGGUGGUAAAUUUCAUCUAAAGCUAAAUAUUGGCGAGAGACCGAUAGCGAACAAGUACCGUGAGGGAAAGAUGAAAAGAACUUUGAAAAGAGAGUUAAACAGUACGUGAAAUUGUCAAAAGGGAAGCGUUUGACAUCCAGUGUUGUUUUCUCGAAAAUCAAUUAAAAAUGGCUCGAUUUUGUAUUGUUGAGACCUUAAAAGCUCACUGUACAUUUUUCGUGUCUUUUUUAAUGCACUUUUCGUUUAACAAGUCAACAUCAGUUUCUUUUGUUGUAAAAGGGUCAUUGGAAGGUGGCUUUCUUUUCGGAGAAAGUGUUUAUAGCCUUUGGCCUCUGCAAUCGGAGAGACUGAGGUCUGCAGCGUAGACUCUUCGGGGUUAGAUACAUUUGUGCUAAGUUAUAGCUUUUUAUAGACAACUUGUUGACUAUAAUUAGUCUUGUAGCUUACUCGCUUAUGCUAUUUUACCUACGCUUAGGAUGUUGAAGAUGUAGCACAUCAU